AGCUUUUUGACCGUAUUUUCUCCAUCUAUAACCAUCUUCAAGAAAAUCAACCUCACUUUUUGUCAUAAACGCAAAUCUCGGCUCUUUCUGUUUCUUCUGACUCACUGUUUUCUUCGCUUUCAACUGUUGUUUAGCGUUUGUGUUUUUUUGGUCAUGAUUUUCUACUUCCCCAUCAGCAUCUCCAUGUCCUUCAGAGGAAAUGGAGGAGCAAUUAGGGGUAGAUGGCGUAUUCAAUACGUUACCUGUAGCAACUACAGUAGUAGUACUACUUUUUUGUUUCUCAGCUGCUGCUACAGAUGAUGAUGAUGGCGGCUUUAGUUCUUCUUCAGAUACACAAACAGCAGGAUAGUGAUUUUCUUCUUUAGGUAACUCAAAAACUGAACAAAAGUCUUGAUGAAAACCCAAUAACUCCAUGAAACCCAGAGAUGAUGGGUUAAUGCUGUAAUCUGAGAUGAAUGAGUGGUUAUUAGUAACUCCAAAACCGUUGUU
rnacentral:misc_RNA from 1 species